GGGAGGCGGACAUGUGGCGUCAGGGGCGACCUGGGAGAAGAGAAGGGUGCAUUUUCACCCCCUGACACUCGGUUCGUUGGGCCCUCAAGGCCUCCGCCGGGCUCGUUACCCGGCGGCGGAAGCCUCCAGACCUUCGGAAGCGGGGACCUGGCGCCUGCUAAUCCACUCGGAAGUCCCCGAGAGGGCCUGGGAAGGAUCCCCCGCCCCGCAAACCCACAAGCUGUGUGAGCUCGGUGGUCUGACCCCAGCCUUUCCCAUCCACCUUCCUCUUAGCCGCCGCCUCUCCGCCCGCUGCCCUCGCCCCCUCCAAGUUCAGCUUGUGGGUGGAACCUGUUGCUUCAGCUCACGUUUCCUUCCCGUUCCUGACCGCUAGCUGAGGAUGGCCUCGGCGAGGUGUGUGUCUGAGGACUGGAAGGAUGAGGGUGAAAAGUGCGCGGGGAUGGGGCAGGCUUGGCACGAGUGUUCUCAAGUCUUGGGGUCUCCAAAGAUCCCCUCACACUGCUAUCAAGGAAAUCCUGAAGAAGGUGAGGAGGUGAUAGUCCCCCUGGCACACCUAAAGCCUUUGCUUCCUUGAAUUUUUCAGGAAACACAUCUGGUUCCCUGAGUUCAGCAGUUCUUUCAGUAGGAAAAGGUUUGAUGAAGUGAAAGACACCAGCACUUGCAAAAUCUCCUCCCUUCGCCCUCAGCUACCUAUCCACCUUGCCCUGAGCAACUCUCCUCUGCCACAUCCCUCCACCAUGCCUUCCUGCCAGCAGACUACGGACUAAGACAGGAUUGGUGUUCUAACUCCUCCUCUUCCUGAAUAUACAUGAAUGUAAACAGAAGACAGCCAGAAUGCAUUUAUCAAUGGACUCAGCAGAAACAGAGACAACAUAUUUUUGGCUGAAGCCCGAUGGUCAGGUGGGUUAAGGAGGACAGUUAAGAGGUCCUGACAGAAUUGAUCCACCAACAAGGCAGAGCACAGUGUGGGGGCAGCAAACACAGGACACACAUGUGGCCCCUCUGCACUCCAGCAGCCUCACAGGAGGAGCUCCCGGAUUCUAGGACUCCUGCUGCCGAGCACUUGUCCUCGGUUUGGCUUCCUGGAAACCGGUGAUCUCGCUCAUCUAAGAGAUGUGAAGCAGUUGGAACCCCUAAUUCCUCACAGGGAGGCAGAAGACACUGAAGAGUAGUGAAGCCGUGCUAUGAGAUCUUGAUUGUUUAAGACACGUGACCAUGCAUCUUCAGAACCAGUGGAGAUGAUUUUGCUUUUUUAAUGGACAAACAGUUGCAGUAUUUGACUGAGGUUGGCCCCUGGCCAUUUGUAUUCCUGAGUGACUUCCUUGGGUUCCCCUGGCUAAACCUUACAGCUCAAGCACCAGGGGCCCUUCACCUUAUAGUGGCAACAGUGAACAUUUCCUGGUGCUGAUAUUUAAAUGCAAAGCUGUCUUGUUCAUUUAGAGUGCAUUGAAACAAUUACUAAAGGCAAGAUUCUAAGAAGAAAGUCGUGCUUAAUUUAGUCAUCACUUGGGUGAUAACAUACUUCUUCCUUUGCUGCCAGUUGGUAUGGUCUUUGGAAAGUACUUUUAGUUCUGCCACUUAGGUCAAGCCAGCACCCACUUUUAAUUCCUUAGCUAUUUAUGCCGAAUAGGGCCUGGACCAUGGAUUUGAGAUCUUUUUAAAAAAAUUUUGGGGCGGACAGGGUUUCACUACACAGGUCACGCUGGCCUCAAACUUAUGGUGAUCCUCCUGCCUUAGCUGGUAUUACAGGCAUGUACCACCAGGCUAAAAAUGCAACUUGACACCUACUUACGUAGUCUCAUCUUCACAUAUUACCUUCGUACACAGAUUUUGAAUUUUUAAAGAAGUAGAUGACUUUUAUUCCUCCUUUGAUUAACACCCAACUUGGGACAAAGCAUAUGGUAGAUUGAGAAAUACUUACAUUAACUAAAAUGAACAGA